UGUAAAUUUAACUGUUAAUCCAAAGGGGUACAGCUCUUUGGAAUAGGAUACAACCUUAAUUAGAGAGUAAGCACGCAUCAACUACCAUAGUUGGCCUAAAAGCAGCCAUCAAUUAAGAAAGCGUUCAAGCUCAACAAAUUAUUUACAAUUUAAUACAAACAGUAAGCUCCAACUCCUAACACCAAACUGGACCAAUCUAUACCAAUAUAGAAGCAAUACUGUUAAUAUGAGUAACAAGAUUUAAAUCUCCAAGCACAAGUAUACAUCAGAACAAAUACAUAACUGAUAAUUAACGGCCAAAUAAAUAAAACCCAUCAUAAAACAUUUAUUUUUUCCACCGUUAACCCGACACAGGAGUGCACUUAAGGAAAGAUUAAAAGAAGUAAAAGGAACUCGGCAAACACAAACCCCGCCUGUUUACCAAAAACAUCACCUCUAGCAUUACUAGUAUUAGAGGCACUGCCUGCCCAGUGACAACUGUUUAACGGCCGCGGUAUCCUGACCGUGCAAAGGUAGCAUAAUCAUUUGUUCCCUAAAUAGGGACUUGUAUGAAUGGCCACACGAGGGUUUAACUGUCUCUUACUUCCAAUCAGUGAAAUUGACCUUUCCGUGAAGAGGCGGAAAUAUACUAAUUAGACGAGAAGACCCUAUGGAGCUUUAAUUUAUCUACUCCAAUAGAAUAACUAAUUACCCACACAGGAAUAACACCUCAUUCUAACUGGAUAGAAAAUUUCGGUUGGGGUGACCUCGGAGCAUAAAUCAACCUCCGAGAAUCUUUACCAAGACUAACAAGUCAAAGUAUAAUUAUACUAAUUGAUCCAGUCUUACUGAUCAACGGAACAAGUUACCCUAGGGAUAACAGCGCAAUCCUAUUCUAGAGUCCUUAUCGACAAUAGGGUUUACGACCUCGAUGUUGGAUCAGGACAUCCUAAUGGUGUAGCAGCUAUUAAUGGUUCGUUU
rnacentral:rRNA from 1 species